GUGCCUUACCUAGGAUGAAUAAACAUCAGAAGAGGCCCACGAUACCAUUGGAAUACAAACAGGAACUGACGGAACCAAGCAUGAGGUAUAUUGUGACCACCCGCGUUAAGCUCCUGCCAUCGUGACUUUCCCACCAUGACAGACUGUACCCUCAAACUAACAAACUUGCAUAUGAAAAGUCCUAGGGGAAGAUGAAUGGAAAACCAAAUGAUGACGCUGUGUCUUUGGGAGACCUUCAAGCCGGAACAGAAAGUCACUUAAAGGGGUCCAUCUGUACGAAAAGAAGCUUCUUUGACGAGGAGCGAGAGCUCAGUUAUCUAGCAGAUGGAAACAACAUUCCAAUUCAUGACCAAGGUGUGAAUGGCACUGUGAGCACUUCAAGAAGGCUUUGAAAUCCUGAUAAUGUUUUCUGAGGAGAAGAUGCUGUUUUAAUUUUUGUGUUUUCUUCUAUGUUUACAAUAAAAUACUGGACUUUGUAUCUUGCCCCUUUUGACUUCUGGUGGAGCAAACAAGUCAAGUGGACACAUCAGA